UCUUUCACAACAAGCAAACCAGCGUGCUGCAGCGGUUUCCAGCCCUUAGUUGACACGUACGAGGAGCUAUGGUAUUGCGGCGAUGGCCCCUUAAGAAAAGUAUGUCCAAAAACAUAUUUCUGCUGCAAUGAUGCAGCAGGCAGGUGGGCAGUGUGUUGUCCUGAAUAAACGGUAUAUGGGGCUGCCCCUGCCGGGUACACAGCCUUGAGACUUGAGACUGUCUGUUGGCCUGUUGAUCCAGCCUGUGUACAAAUGCGUUACGAAAAGUUCCACGCGUUUAUGGUACAGAGGCUGUGACAUCAAACAUUUCUUAUAUUAAUCUUGUUUUCUUAUAUGGAAUUUUGGCAAAAGGAGAAUAUGAGAAAAUAAAAAAACACAAAGAAAAUUGUA